rnacentral:misc_RNA from 1 species
UUGCUACAGGUCCUUCAAGCCG